UACGAAGGGGGCUAGCGUUGCUCGGAAUCACUGGGCGUAAAGGGUGCGUAGGCGGGUUUUUAAGUCAGGGGUGAAAUCCUGGAGCUCAACUCCAGAACUGCCUUUGAUACUGAAGAUCUUGAGUCCGGGAGAGGUGAGUGGGACUGCGAGUGUGGAGGUGAAAUUCGUAGAUAUUCGCAAGAACACCAGUGGCGAAGGCGGCUCACUGGCCCGGUACUGACGCUGAGGCACGAAAGCGUGGGGAGCAAAC
rnacentral:rRNA from 1 species